UAAUACGGAGGGUGCAAGCGUUAUCCGGAUUUACUGGGUUUAAAGGGUGCGUAGGCGGGCUAGUAAGUCAGAGGUGAAAUCUCCAAGCUUAACUUGGAAACUGCCCCUGAUACUAUUAGUCUUGAAUAUCGAUGAGGCGGGCGGAAUACAUCAUGUAGCGGUGAAAUGCUUAGAUAUGAUGUAGAACACCGAUUGCGAAGGCAGCUCGCUAACCGAUUAUUGACGCUGAGGCACGAAAGCGUGGGGAUCAAACAGGAUUAGAUACCCUGGUAGUCCACGCCCUAAACGAUGAUUACUCGACAUUGGCGAUACACUGUCAGUGUCCAAGCGAAAGCAUUAAGUAAUCCACCUGGGAAGUACGUUCGCAAGAAUG
rnacentral:rRNA from 1 species